rnacentral:rRNA from 1 species
GACGAACGCUGGCGGCGUGCCUAAUACAUGCAAGUCGAGCGGAAUGAAGAAGAAGCUUGCUUCUUCUGAUUUUAGCGGCGGACGGGUGAGUAACACGUGGGCAACCUACCUUGUAGAUUGGGAUAACUCCGGGAAACCGGGGCUAAUACCGGAUAAUCCAUUUUGCUUCAUGGCGAGAUGUUAAAAGGCGGCUUCGGCUGUCACUACGAGAUGGGCCCGCGGCGCAUUAGCUAGUUGGUAGGGUAAUGGCCUACCAAGGCGACGAUGCGUAGCCGACCUGAGAGGGUGAUCGGCCACACUGGGACUGAGACACGGCCCAGACUCCUACGGGAGGCAGCAGUAGGGAAUCUUCCACAAUGGACGAAAGUCUGAUGGAGCAACGCCGCGUGAGUGAAGAAGGUUUUCGGAUCGUAAAACUCUGUUGUAAGGGAAGAACACGUACGAGAGUAACUGCUCGUACCUUGACGGUACCUUAUUAGAAAGCCACGGCUAACUACGUG